AUUUAAGACAGAUUACUUCGGUUUGAAGUCUUUUAUGACUGAGUGGCGGACGGGUGAGUAACGCGUGAGGAACCUGCCUUUCAGUGGGGGACAACAGUUGGAAACGACUGCUAAUACCGCAUAAGACCACAAGGCCGCAUGGCCAAGGGGUCAAAGGAGCAAUCCGGUAUAGGACGGGUUCGCGUCCCAUUAGCUAGUAGGCGGGGUAAAGGCCCACCUAGGCAACGAUGGGUAGCCGAGCUGAGAGGCUGAACGGCCACACUGGGACUGAGAUACGGCCCAGACUCC
rnacentral:rRNA from 1 species